UACGUAGGGUGCAAGCGUUGUCCGGAAUCAUUGGGCGUAAAGCGCGCGUAGGUGGCUUCGUAAGUCCGUUGUGAAAGUCAAAGGCUCAACCUUUGAAUGCCGAUGGAUACUGCGGAGCUAGAGUACGGAAGAGGCGAGUGGAAUUCCUGGUGUAGCGGUGGAAUGCGCAGAUAUCAGGAGGAACACCAAUAGCGAAGGCAGCUCGCUGGGACGUUAUUGACACUAAGGCGCGAAAGCGUGGGGAGCGAACAGG
rnacentral:rRNA from 1 species